AACGAACGCUGGCGGCAGGCUUAACACAUGCAAGUCGAACGAGAUCUUCGGAUCUAGUGGCAGACGGGUGAGGAACACGUGGGAACAUCCCUUUCAGUUCGGAAUAACGUUGGGAAACUAACGCUAAUACCGGAUACGUCCUUCGGGAGAAAGAUUUAUCGCUGAAAGAUUGGCCCGCGUCUGAUUAGCUAGUUGGUGAGGUAAUGGCUCACCAAGGCUACGAUCAGUAGCUGAUCUGAGAGGAUGAUCAGCCAAAUUGGGACUGAGACACGGCCCAAACUCCUACGGGAGGCAGCAGUGGGGAAUAUUGGACAAUGGGCGCAAGCCUGAUCCAGCCAUGCCGCGUGAGUGAUGACGGCCUUCGGGUUGUAGAGCUCUUUUGUCCGGGAAGAUAAUGACUGUACCACCAGAAGAAGCCCCGGCUAACUCCGUGCCAGCCGCCGCUGUAA
rnacentral:rRNA from 1 species